AGCGAACGCUGGCGGCAGGCUUAACACAUGCAAGUCGAGCGGGCAUAGCAAUAUGUCAGCGGCAGACGGGUGAGUAACGCGUGGGAACGUACCUUCUGGUUCGGAACAACUGAGGGAAACUUCAGCUAAUACCGGAUAAGCCCUUACGGGGAAAGAUUUUUCGCCGAAAGAUCGGCCCGCGUCUGAUUAGGUAGUUGGGGAGGUAAUGGCUCACCAAGGCGACGAUCAGUAGCUGGACUGAGAGGAACAUCAGCCACAUUGGGACUGAGACACGGCCCAAACUCCUACGGGAGACAGCCGUGGGGAGUAUUGGGCAAUGGACGCAAGCCUGAUCCAACCAUGCGGAGUGAGUGAUGAAGGCCCUAGGGUUGUAAAACUCUUUUGUGCGGGAAGAUAAUGACGUUACCGCAAGAAUAAGCCCCGGCUAACUUCGUGCCAGCCGCCGCCGUAA
rnacentral:rRNA from 1 species